rnacentral:rRNA from 1 species
GUUGACGUGUUCGCAGCAGCCGCGGUAAGGCUGAGGGUCGAGUUGUGGUUCGGGGUGUCUGGGCGGAAAGUGGGCGUAGGUGUGUGGGGAAGUCGGAUGUGAUAUCCCGGGGCUCAACUCCGAAAUGGCAUUGGAAACGACCUUGCUCGAGGGUUGGAGGGGGGACUGUAAUACUUGGUGUAGCAGUGAAAUGCGUAGAUAUCAAGUGGAACACCAGUGGCGAAGGCGAGUCCCUGGACAACUCCUGACACUGAGGCACGAAAGCUAGGGGAGCAAACAGGAUUAGAUACCCUGGUAGUC